AUUGAACGCUGGCGGCAUGCCUUACACAUGCAAGUCGAACGGCAGCGCGGACUUCGGUCUGGCGGCGAGUGGCGAACGGGUGAGUAAUACAUCGGAACGUACCCUGUUGUGGGGGAUAACUAGUCGAAAGAUUAGCUAAUACCGCAUACGACCUGAGGGUGAAAGUGGGGGACCGCAAGGCCUCACGCAGCAGGAGCGGCCGAUGUCUGAUUAGCUAGUUGGUGGGGUAAAGGCCCACCAAGGCGACGAUCAGUAGCUGGUCUGAGAGGUAGAUCAGCCACACUGGGACUGAGACUCGGCCCAGACGCCUACGGGAGGCAGAAGUGGGGAAUUUUGGGCAAUGGGGGCAACCCUGAUCCAGCAAGGCCGCGUGUGUGAAGAAGGCCUUCGGGUUGUAAAGCACUUUUGUCCGGAAAGAAAUCGCGCUGGUUAAUACCUGGCGUGGAUGACGGUACCGGAAGAAUAAGCACCAGCUAACUACGUGCCAGCCGCCGCCGUAA
rnacentral:rRNA from 1 species